UGACUCGGACAUCAUGCUGAUGUGGUC
rnacentral:piRNA from 1 species